CAGUCGCCGCGGGAAUACGUAGGGUGCGAGCGUUAAUCGGAAUUACUGGGCGUAAAGCGUGCGCAGGCGGUUAUAUAAGACAGAUGUGAAAUCCCCGGGCUCAACCUGGGACCUGCAUUUGUGACUGUAUAGCUAGAGUACGGUAGAGGGGGAUGGAAUUCCGCGUGUAGCAGUGAAAUGCGUAGAGAUCGGAAGGAACAUCUGUGGCGAAGGCGACUAUCUGGACCUGUACUGACGCUCAUGCACGAAAGCGUGGGGAGCAAACAGGAUUAGAGACCCCUGUAGUCCCUGUCUCUUAUAA
rnacentral:rRNA from 1 species